rnacentral:ncRNA from 1 species
UUAAAGUUUUAUUCUAGCUUAUUUAGUCAAUAAAGUAUUUUUAUACAUGUAAGGUUUAGCGUGGAUUUAAUCUCUUAAAUAGUUUUUUAAUUUAGUCGCAGUGUUUAAUAUUAAUAAUAAGUUUAUGCUUGAAUUAGGAAUUUCUUAAAGUAGUAACAAAACUUGUGCCAGCAGUUGCGGUUACACAAGUAUUACAAUUGAAUUUUUUAUAAUAAAAAUAAGUGAUUAAUAUGAAUUAUUUUUAUUCAUAAUUUUUAGGUGAAAUUUAAAUUUUGAAUUAGAUGAUUUUUUCAGUAUUUUGAAACCAUUUUAUAAACUAGGAUUAGAUACCCUAUUAUUAUUUGGUGUAAAUUUUAUAUUAGAUUAGUAUUAGUUAUGUUCUUGAAAAUUAAAGAUUUUGGCGGUAUCUUAGUCCAUUCAGAGGAGCCUGUCCUGUAAUUGAUACUCCACGAGUUAUAUUACUUUUCCUCCUAGUUUGUAUAUCGUUGUGAUAGGGAAUUUUUUUAAGACAAGAAUUUUCGUGAUUUAUUUUAUAUAAUAUAUCAAAUCAAGGUGCAGCUUAUGGAUAAGUAGAGAUGGGCUACAAUAGUAGUAUUUAAACGGAUAAUAAUAUUUAAAGGAUUUUAGAAGGUGGAUUUGAUAGUAAUUUAAAUUCUAAUAAUUUAAAUGAUUUAGGCUCUAGGAUAUGCACAUAUCGCCCGUCGCUUUCAAUUAAGUUGAAAUAAGUCGUAACAAAGUAGGCGUAUUGGAAAAUGUGCCUAGAAUGCA